rnacentral:rRNA from 1 species
GAGUUUGAUCCUGGCUCAGGACGAACGCUGGCGGCGCGCCUAACACAUGCAAGUCGAACGGAGCUUAGAGAGCUUGCUUUUUAAGCUUAGUGGCGAACGGGUGAGUAACGCGUGAGUAACCUGCCCUAGAGUGGGGGACAACAGUUGGAAACGACUGCUAAUACCGCAUAAGCCCACGGUACCGCAUGGUACUGAGGGAAAAGGAUGUAUUCGCUUUAGGAUGGACUCGCGUCCAAUUAGCUAGUUGGUGAGGUAACGGCCCACCAAGGCGACGAUUGGUAGCCGGCCUGAGAGGGUGAACGGCCACAUUGGGACUGAGACACGGCCCAGACUCCUACGGGAGGCAGCAGUGGGGAAUAUUGCACAAUGGGGGAAACCCUGAUGCAGCGACGCCGCGUGAAGGAAGAAGUAUCUCGGUAUGUAAACUUCUAUCAGCAGGGAAGAAAAUGACGGUACCUGACUAAGAAGCCCCGGCUAACUACGUGCCAGCAGCCGCGGUAAUUC